rnacentral:RNase_MRP_RNA from 1 species
AUGUCAUUGGAGGUGAAUGGGUCACAAGGGCUAUUUAAGUCUCGACCCAGGAAAGUCCCCGGGCAACUCUCCGCAGAGAUGCGGCCUCGGAAACGAGAGAGUCAUACGGUGGAGAGAUUCCCAUUAGCUGAGACGCGUGUGUGGAGCUUCGUGGUCUCUCCGCCGAUGAUAUCAUUGCCGAUUGUUUCACGACUCAGAUAUUCACUUUGUCCUUGUCGGAUUUAACUUAACGGGGCUUAUGUUACAGUGACA